rnacentral:ribozyme from 1 species
CAGCCAGACAUAAACACACACACUUUGAAAGAAGAAAAAUGAAGAAGAGGAAGAAGACAAGAGAGAGAGAGUACACAGUUUUAUGUG